rnacentral:rRNA from 1 species
GUGGAUUAGAUACCCGAGUAGUCCAUGCCGUAAACGAUGUCUACUAGCCGUUGGGGUCUUUGAGACUUUAGUGGCGCAGCUAACGCGAUAAGUAGACCGCCUGGGGAGUACGGUCGCAAGACUAAAACUCAAAUGAAUUGACGGGGGCCCGCACAAGCGGUGGAGCAUGUGGUUUAAUUCGAUGCAACGCGAAGAACCUUACCUGGCCUUGACAUAGUAAGAACUUUCCAGAGAUGGAUUGGUGCCUUCGGGAACUUACAUACAGGUGCUGCACGGCCGUCGUCAGCU